UACGUAGGGGGCAAGCGUUGUCCGGAUUUAUUGGGCGUAAAGAGCGUGUAGGCGGCCUGACAGGUCUGCUGUGAAAACUCGAGGCUCAACCUCGAGAUGUCGGCGGAAACCGUCUGGCUAGAGUCCGGAAGAGGAGAGUGGAAUUCCUGGUGUAGCGGUGAAAUGCGCAGAUAUCAGGAAGAACACCAGUGGCGAAGGCGACUUACUGGACACAUAUUGACGCUGAGGUGCGAAAGCGUGGGGAGCAAACAGG
rnacentral:rRNA from 1 species